GACGAGGGAUCCUAGCGUUGUUCGGAAUCAUUGGGCGUAAAGAGGGCGUAGGUGGCCUUGUAAGUCAGAUGUGAAAGCCCCGGGCUCAACCUGGGAAUGGCAAUGGAUACUGGCAGGCUAGAGUGCGGUAGAGGGUAGUGGAAUUCCCGGUGUAGCGGUGAAAUGCGUAGAGAUCGGGAGGAACACCAGUGGCGAAGGCGGCUACCUGGACCAGCACUGACACUGAGGCACGAAAGCGUGGGGAGCAAACAGG
rnacentral:rRNA from 1 species